CCGAGUUUACAACUCCCAAACCCCUGUGAACAUACCCUAUGUUGCCUCGGCGGAUCAGCCCGCGCCCCGUAAAACGGGACGGCCCGCCGCAGGAACCCCUAAACUCUGUUUCUAUAGUGGAACUUCUGAGUAUAAAAACAUAAAUAAAUCA
rnacentral:misc_RNA from 1 species